GAGCCAGCAUGGCAUUGCGGUUUGAGUGUUGGACUAUGACUCUGGAGGCCAGGGUUCGAUUCCCAGCUGCCCCA